rnacentral:rRNA from 1 species
AACCCCAAGCCCAAAGUGCACAAUACGGGUUCUACUCAAGGUGGAUACGAUCCAACAUACCAACACAACAAAGAACAACAGUGAUACCAGAAUGAACCACCUCCACCAUACCAGAAGUACCACUUCUGACUUCUCUCCACAACCCAUAUAGUGAGACUACAACAAUGUGAAGUGUCGCUAGAUGACCACCACAAAUGCACUCGGGUUGUACUUGUGGUACUAAUGUACGCUCAUUCGGGUAUUCGAGAGCCGGUUACUUCUUGUGAGAAUGUUUGCCCGGGCUGUUUGGUAGGUGCCUCGGAACUCGGUGUUGUUGGGUAGUAAAGAUCCCUCGAAUCAUUGAAUCAUCUAAGACGAACUAGAUGUAUAGAUCCAAACGAUUUUAAGUUAGUUAGUCAAGUAAGUAACACAUUGACGUAUAUAUUACUGAUUCUGCGUACAAAGGUUUCUGGUAUGAUUUCACUGUAUACGUCAGCACUAAGCGAACCUACGUGUAUAGACACAGAACAAAGAUCGGCCAAUAUACCUAAGCAACAAAACACUUUCAUUCCCGGAACAUUCUACCAACAUAUUCGAGAUAAAAAUGGAAAGAUCAUUCCGUAAAAGUUGAGAAAUACUUACACUACCAAUACACGUAGAACAAUACGUUUCUAGCCCGUAAUCGAGUUACUGCCAGGUAUAAUAAAACGCAUGUUAUAGUACACGAUUUUUAUACCCCGUAAGAUAUAGAUUUAUCGGUCAGAAGUGAUGAUUUAAAGAUGCGUACGCACGAAAGUGAAGUAGAGUUAGUUACUAUCAGUAGGCCAACUUAAACAUGCCGUAUUUUUUAGUUCGUGUAUGAGUAUACGUGUGGUAUGGUGGAGUAGUUCGGUACAUACACAAAAAAGGUCCCCUUAGCUCAGUACGAUAAAAACCAUUACUUACUAUCUACACAACUUGUGAACUUCGUUUUUUGAUAUCAAGUUCGAAGUGUACAAACAAUAUUGAGCCGCAGUGCAAUUUAAGUUAAGUUACAAAGAUAAAAUAUGUAGUAAAACAAUGUACGAAGUAUAAAAAAAUAACAAAAAUUACAUUUCGUUCUUGUGAGAACGUAAACAAAUAAAAAGUAAUCAAAAACAACAAAGAUUCGUGUACAAAUACGUAAACAACAUCGGACCAAACGCGCCGGCUCUUGCUCCGUAGUAGAUAAAGAAUCAUAACCAUCCGAUCGGUCGCUUCGAUUCGAUGGACGGUACAGAUAAUCACGCUCAAAACAUGAAAACUUCAUCGAACAACGUUUAUUUUGUCUCCAUGUGAUCUUAAAGUUUCUUUAAUACGAUGGUUCACGAACGUUGGCAAACUACGAGUAAAUAGAGAUGAACAUUCUUUCUCGCUUCGUCCGAGACAGAAACUUACAUACGUCGAUUACGUGUUUGAACAUCCACCAAAGGUCCCUCGAAAUAUGUUUGUUGUUCCUAUCCGGUUCUCUUUCAACGUGUACCUCAGCACCUCCCCUUCUUUAGUGGCGGCGUUUAACUUGAAAUAUACAGCUUACGUAACUUGAAGGUUCUUUACCAUAGGUUGGUUUCGUACUGCGGUCUUUCUUCUGUGUACAACAUAAUACGGACCUAACGGUGGUAUCAUAUGUGAUAGCUACACACCGAAGGGACAGUGGAGUCACGGAACAAAACCCACCGACUCCGUACCUCUGUUACGAACCGCGACCCAUCGUCGUUAGGUAGCACCUCGACCACACGCAGCUGACACGGCCAUACGUCCAACUGCUACAUCUACCGGCUCGGUAACUCCGUGUACGAGCUGCCUCAACCACCGCUGUCUUUCACCGCUGUCACUACUUCACUACCGAGUACCGCAUAGCAGACCCCCGUCCAACGGUACAGGUCUAAAUGUUAGCUACAUGUGAGCGCUACAUCCGUACUCUAGCAGCUUCGCAAAGGCCACCCCAUACAACCACCAGGGAAGAGAGCAGUCAAAUGGCACUGGAUACAUUAUAUACGCAACUACCUACGAGAACCGAGGUUUCUGCGGAGAGAUACCAACCUGACAGAUGAAGUACAAACGUGUUAAAAGUCAAACAUACCAACACAGGUACAAGGUGAACACACGUGAAUUUGUAGAAACAACGCAGCUGUUAACAAACCGGACUUAGUAACAAUGAAAAAAGUAAAAAGAAAAAAAAGGGAGAUAGAUCCAUCUCGAAACCUGAAACUAAAAACGGCCACACUAUGAAACUCACACACGCAAUCACAACUAACACACGUAAGAUUAGAACGUCUCUGGUC